rnacentral:lncRNA from 1 species
GGUCUGUCAAUAUACAAUUUGAUUACUAGUAAUAUAUAACGGACCGGAACAUAUGAUAGAGGGGCGAAAGAUACCAGAGGGACAUUCAAACUCAUAGAUCGAAAAAUAAACUGAUAACGCCAUGGCUACAAAAGAAAAAGAAAAACAGACAAAUACCUGUACACAAGACACACUAUAGAAAACUAAAGACUAGGCAGCACGAACCCCACCAAUACCUGGGGUUGAUCCCAGGUGCUCCAAAAGGGUAAACAGAUCAUGCUGUACAUGUG